GCCCCGGCCGGCUCCCGCCGGCUCAGACCGGUUCUCAGCGCAAACAACCGCCCCCCGCCCGGCGGGGCACCGCGGCGGCGAACCCCCGCUUUCCUCCAGAAACACCCGCCUUUCCCCCGCAAAACGCCCGCUUUUCCCUCAGGAACACCCGCUCUUCCCUCAGGAACACCCGCUCUCCCCGCCCCCGCCAAACAGCCGGGUCAGGCGACUCCACGGCCGCGCCGCCAUUACAGCGGCGGGCGCGCUCCGCCGGCUGUGAGGCGAGAGAAAGCGGCGGGGUUUCGGAGCGAGAUAAAAAUCUUAUUAUGCAACGCACAUUUUUAAUAGAUUAUUGCCGGGUCCAGGGCUGAGAAGGAUCUGUUUAUGUGGUUACACAUGCACAGGUCUUGAAAACCACAAGCAAGGAAACCCAGACUUCUCCUUCACCACCUUUCUGCUUUUUCACGGCUUCUGAAGGACAGUACCCAGCACAAAGUUCCCACGAGUGCUGAACACCCACCGUGUGCCCCAAACACCCCCCAGGGCAGGGAACACAACUCUGCCAGCUGAGACCAACAGGAUGAGACUUGAGUGACCACGUUCUUAAAUUUCAGAAGAAUGCAGUGUCAUAAAGACCUUAAUAAUACCAUGGCCCCUCAAAAUUGGCUAUUUCCACUUAUAAAAAAGCUGUAAGAGAAUCUCCAGUUGCUAAAAUCCUCAAGACCACGGAAAUUGCAGGCAAUAAUUAUUCUCCAGACAAAAGAAACUGGAUAUAUUACACAGCAAGUGGGAGCACCAAACCAGGAAAAAGGGGGUGAGGCAGCUUUCGCUCACCAACAGUAUAUGAGGGGCUUAAUAUUUACAUGGCUAAAUUUCAACUGUGUUGAAAAUUAAAUACUUGUGCUUUGAAAGACUUCAAGGCCCGGUGGGGUUUUGCUUCCCAAAGUAAAGAGAGGGUUAAAUGUUUAUUAUUAUCUAACUGAUUGCUAAGAAACAUGUAAAACUCUUUUCUGAUCCUUCAAAAUUAAAUAUACAAUCCACCAGAUUCCAUUACUUGCUCGACUGAGUUUGAUUUUCUUGUAUUAAUAAGAAAAAAAAUGUUUUAUUUCCUCCCAGAGUAUCGUCUACUUUUCCAUUACUACAACUAGAAAUUGCCAAGAAAAUGAAAUGCUCAAGCACAGCAGACGCUGCUUUUCUUCUCAUUAAAUCUUAAAACUUGGUUCCAGUGGGAUCAUAUUUAGUCCUCUCAAAUUCAGAACAGGAUUUCAUCCCGCCUUGACAUCCCAACAAUGACAUUUUAUAAAUAUUACGAGUUUCUUGGACGCCUUUCUCAUUCCACAAGGAGCAGAGAAGCACCAGUAGAGAUUUUUUUUCUUCUUCCCCUGCUCAAGAUUUUUGUAUUAAAACUUAAAUGUAACCAGCCCUCCUUUCAAUCCAUUUUCUCUAGGAUUUUUUUGAGACCUCUGGAAGUCUCAGAGAUCUUUCUGAGCUGUAAUAACUGUGAAAAAUCUUUGACAAAGGAUUCUCUUUAUUCAAACAUUAAGCUCUCAUUGAGAGAUGCUGGAAAUAAACAAGUGCUUAAAAGCAGCCUAAAAGUUGUCUUAAAUCUUCACCUGCUGUCCAACCAAGACAGGACCUGGAUUUCUAAAUCCAAGAAGAGAAAACAAUAAUUAAAAGAAGUAAAUAAAUCCUUGCAUGAUUCUUUAGACAUGAGGGGGUGGGGCAAUCAGAAGAGGAGACACCGAUUUCCUCAUCUUCCGUACACUCUCCGUGGGUGUCAGCCCAUCUCACCCUUCCAGAAGGUUCAACAUUCAAGGUAUUUUGUAAAGCCAUGCAAAUACAGAGCUAUUGCAGAACCAAGGAAACGCAUCCCCAGGAAUCACAAACUUGGAUUGUUUUCUUUUAAUUCUUCCAAGUCUACAAAUUUUGCUGUGAGGCAGCAGGGCGAGAAAUGGGAAGGCGACAAAUCAAACUCGUGAAUGUCAGCAGUGUCAGGGAACAAGAAGAAACAGAACAAUACCACUCAUCAUUUCCCAAACUAUGUUGAAGUGUGGUCUGUAAAAAGUAGCUGACCUUAAAAUUUGCAUUUUCUCUCACUGAAGCAAAUAAAAGUGACCCUGUUCUCCACGCACACAGGAAGCAAGGCCUUGUGUUUGUACAACCCUGCUCUGCCCAGCCACCAUCUUACACAUGCUGCAUGGAUCCACCAUGGAAAAUGACAAACAACAGCACCAGCGUUCCCCUUGGAACCCUUGGUGCCAACUGAGCCUUUUGACAUUUCACUGCAGUUCACUUCUACCUCAACGACCAAAGCUUCACCACGGAA